rnacentral:rRNA from 1 species
GAUGAACGCUGGCGGCGUGCCUAAUACAUGCAAGUCGAGCGAACAGACGCGGAGCUUGCGCCUCUGACGUUAGCGGCGCACGGGUGUGUAACAUGUGUAUAACCUACCUAUAAGACUGGGAUAACUUCGGGAAACCGGAGCUUAUACCGGAUAAUAUAUUGAACCGCAUGGUUCAAUAGUGAAAGUCGGUUGUGCUGUCACUUAUAGAUGGAUCUGAGCCGGAUGAGCUAGUUGGUAAGGUAACGGCUUACCAAGGCGAGUAUGCGUAGCCGACGGCAGAGGGGGAUCGGCCACACGGGAGCUGGAACACGGACCAGACGCCUACGGGAGGCAGCAGUAGGGAAUCUUCGGCAAUGGGGGAAAGCAUGGCGGAGUGACGCCGCGUGUGAGAUGGAGGUCCUGCGAGCGUAAAGCUCGGUUACUGGGUAAGAACAAAUGUGGAAGUAGCUAUGCACGUCUUGACGGUACCUAAUCAGAAAGCCACGGCUAACUACGUG